AACAGCAGCCAUAUCACCCUGCAGCCCAAGACUGGUUGCUUACUGAAGCUAAGCUGGGUUGAGCCUGGUCAGUACCUGGAGACCUCCUGAGAAAGCUAGGUUGCUGAUGGAA
rnacentral:rRNA from 1 species